rnacentral:lncRNA from 1 species
GAGGGGUUUGGUCCUCUGGGGCCUGACAACCCCCUCUGAUCGCCCUCACGUCCCAUAAGGAGGCAAAGGCCGGAUUUCCGAGGCCUGGGAGGAGUGCUCCAAGGGCUCACUGGACAAGCCAGAAACUGUCAGUGUCUAAUUAUAUCAUUUGGCUACUAAGUGAAGGAGUGAGGGAAUAGCCCCGGUGCAGGCACACCUCCAGCCUUGGGGAGGGGCGGUGGCACUGCCCUAUCUUGUGCAGCUCCUGUCACUACCCCACUCUCCCUGGACUCCGCUGGCCCUGAUUCGGUGCCUCCAGAAAUCUUAGGGUGGUGGUGUGGAGAGGACUGCUUGCCCUGCUCAUGGAGCUAGCUCUGGUGAGACAAGAUAAGCCCCAAAUCCUGCUCACGUCAUUCAAUCUGGCCACCAAAUGAUUUGUCACUGGGGAGCUGCAUGGGGCUGGGUGGACCAAUGGUGUGGGUCAUGGGAAGAGCCUGCCUUAGCCCACAUCACGCUGCCCUGAGGUGUCCCUGCCUAAGCCCUUCCCCACUUUUUGGCUGGCCUUGGUGCUCCACCCUGGUGGGGCAUCCCCCAUUCAUGCUUGCCAUCCAGUGAUUCGGAUCUAGAUCCCAUCCCCACCAUCCUGGGUCUGUCUGCACACCUUUCUUACAUUUGUGGUCCCUCAGCUAGCCCCACCCACCUGUCACCCCUCAACCCAGAACAUCUCUCAGCUUCAGCCACACAAAGAUCCUCAUCAUUCUGAGAAAACCUUGGGCUCUUUCACACCUUCAUGCUUUUUUUUCUACACUGUUCCCUCGGCCUAGAAUACCCUUCUCACUCUCUUCCCUCUAUGCCCUGAAAAUGAGCUUCGAGUCUUAUGAAAUGGGGCCAUGACUAUAUCACCCAUGCCCAGUGCAGAGCCUGGUACAGAGGAAACACUUCGGAGGUCUUUGCUAAUGUCGUCAGUGUAUCCUAUCCCUGGCCUUGCCACCAGCCCCAUCCCACUCACAGCUGAAGGGCUUCUGGAGCCCCUGUUCUCUGGCUACUUAGCUGUGUUUCAGGAAGCUUCUCUGUAGUCACUGCACUGAGCUGAGCCCCACCCUGGCUCAUGCAGUCAUUCAACACUCACUCCCUGAAAUGCGUGGGACACAGAGAUAGCCCUGCCCCUGCCCUGGGCCUCAAAGCUGCCACCAAGGCCCCAUCCUUAUUUCCUGCUGAUACCACCUCUUCUCCAGCUCUGGGGCCAUCCUAGAACCCAAUCUCACAGCCAGCAGCAAGAAGUCAUGGCCCCUGCUGGACCCCCAUUCACUCUACCUUCCCUUCCCCAAAGGCCUUCCCAAGGCCAUCUGGUCAGCACUGGGAUGGCAACAUUAAGUGCUCAAUAUUUGUUUGCUGAAUGGCAUAAAUUCUCCCACCAUUAGGAUGCCCACAAGUUCCAAAUGCCACCAAUCCCACAUUCUCCCUGCCUCAGCUGAUUCUGCCUUGCCCCUAUCUUUGUUUCUCCAGGCCCACCCAACUGUCAACACAGUUCCAUGCUGGUAGGUUCUGCAGCUCAGACCUAGGACUCCUGGAUCUCCACCCUACCCCAGCAGACCUCAGGCCCGGGCUCUGACACCUACCUAGUCCCAGGCUCUCUAGUGUCCACCUCCUGCAGGAGCUCCAGGCCCUGAAACCCAGCCUGUUUGCUUGGACUCCAGAGACCAGCAUCCUAUCAGCAUCUCUUUGCAUCAGGACUCAGCCCCUCAUCUGUCUACUUCUCCCCACCUAUGUGACACAGCACAAACUGCUCAUCCUGCCAGCCCAAGUGUGAACCUGCACCCAGGACAGAAAUGGCUCAUCAGACGCAGCACUGUUUCUCCCUGAACUAAGAUCCAUUUGCAAUAAAAUUCAGGCACCUACUGCCUGUUUAUGA